rnacentral:sRNA from 1 species
GGGCGGGGCACUUACCUCUCACUGCUGCUGCCGCCGCGGCUGUGCAGGCUUAGGAGCGGCAUGGUGCGGCUGGCGUGGAUGGUGGCGCUGGGUUUAUCCCCUUCCUUCUCUCUGGCGAAGCAGUGGCUAUUGAGGAUCCGCUGCAGGGAGGAUUUCACCAUCCGGCCGCUGGGGUCCGAAACCAGGAAAACCUCCGCUGCGUCUCUCCGCGCCGCCGCCGCUGCUCGCCGUUCGCAAAAUGGCGCCUCUGCCGCCGCCCGCCUUUAUAGAUGCUGCGCCCAGGCCACGCCCCCCGCGCCGCCGGGAACGCGACCGCACGAGGGGCAGAGCCGCGGGGCCGCCGGGAAAAAAAGUCGCGCCCGCCCCUCCCAGCGCCUGAUUGGUGGAAGGGAAAGGGAAAGGAAGAGGCUCUCUGGAGAUUGGUUGCCUGGCCCGGGACCUGCUGCUGCUCCAGCCAUCUCCAUGACAACCAGAGCCUGGGAGGAGCUGGAUGGCGGCCUGGGCAGCUGCCAGGCCCUGGAGGACCACUCUGCGCUGGCCGAGACCCAGGAGGACAGGGCUUCAGCGACACCCAGGCUGGCCGACUCCGGCAGCGUGCCCCACGACUCUCAGGUGGCUGAAGGCCCCAGUGUGGACACCAGGCCCAAGAAGAUGGAAAAAGAGCCUGCCGCCAGGGGGACCCCAGGAACGGGGAAGGAGAGGCUGAAAGCCGGAGCGAGCCCUCGGAGCGCCCCCGCGCGCAAGAAGGCGCAGACCGCGCCGCCCCUGCAGCCGCCGCCGCCGCCCCCGGCCCUGAGCGAGGAGCUGCCCUGGGGAGACCUGUCGCUCAACAAGUGCCUGGUG